GGGGAAUAUUGCACAAUGGGCGGAAGCCUGAUGCAGCGACGCCGCGUGGGGGAUGACGGCCUUCGGGUUGUAAACCUCUUUCGCUAGGGACGAAGCUUUUGUGACGGUACCUAGAUAAGAAGCACCGGCUAACUACGUGCCAGCAGCCGCGGUAAUACGUAGGGUGCGAGCGUUGUCCGGAAUUACUGGGCGUAAAGAGCUCGUAGGUGGUUUGUCGCGUCGUCUGUGAAAUUCCGGGGCUUAACUUCGGGCGUGCAGGCGAUACGGGCAAUACUUGAGUGCUGUAGGGGAGACUGGAAUUCCUGGUGUAGCGGUGGAAUGCGCAGAUAUCAGGAGGAACACCGAUGGCGAAGGCAGGUCUCUGGGCAGUAACUGACGCUGAGGAGCGAAAGCAUGGGUAGCGAAC
rnacentral:rRNA from 1 species